CCUACGGGAGGCAGCAGUGAGGAAUAUUGGUCAAUGGGCGCGAGCCUGAACCAGCCAAGUCGCGUGAGGGAGUACUGCCCUAUGGGUUGUAAACCUCUUUUGUGCGGGAGCAAUAAUGGCCACGUGUGGCCAGACGAGAGUACCGUACGAAUAAGCAUCGGCUAACUCCGUGCCAGCAGCCGCGGUAAUACGGGGGAUGCAAGCGUUAUCCGGAUUUAUUGGGUUUAAAGGGUGCGCAGGCUGUGAGGUAAGUCAGCGGUGAAAUGCCGCCGCUCAACGGGGUGAAGUGCCAUUGAUACUGGCUUGCUGGAAUGCGGAUGCCGUAGGAGGAAUGUGUGGUGUAGCGGUGAAAUGCAUAGAUAUCACACAGAACACCGAUUGCGAAGGCAUCUCACGAAUCCGCUAUUGACGCUGAUGCACGAAAGCGUGGGUAUCAAACAGGAUUAGAUACCCUGGUAGUC
rnacentral:rRNA from 1 species